rnacentral:rRNA from 3 species
AGACCCGAAACCCGGUGAUCUAGCCAUGGGCAGGUUGAAGGUUGGGUAACACUAACUGGAGGACCGAACCGACUAAUGUUGAAAAAUUAGCGGAUGACCUGUGGCUGGGGGUGAAAGGCCAAUCAAACCGGGAGAUAGCUGGUUCUCCCCGAAAGCUAUUUAGGUAGCGCCUCGUGAAUUCAUCUCCGGGGGUAGAGCACUGUUUCGGCUAGGGGGCCAUCCCGGCUUACCAACCCGAUGCAAACUGCGAAUACCGGAGAAUGUUAUCACGGGAGACACACGGCGGGUGCUAACGUCCGUCGUGAAGAGGGAAACAACCCAGACCGCCAGCUAAGGUCCCAAAGUCAUGGUUAAGUGGGAAACGAUGUGGGAAGGCCCAGACAGCCAGGAUGUUGGCUUAGAAGCAGCCAUCAUUUAAAGAAAGCGUAAUAGCUCACUGGUCGAGUCGGCCUGCGCGGAAGAUGUAACGGGGCUAAACCAUGCACCGAAGCUGCGGCAGCGAACGUAUCACCCAAGACAACUUUACGGAGUUGACGAUUGACGGAGCGAAGCGACGUCAAAGCGUUCAUUAAAGUCGAGUUGGCUUAGGGAUACGUUCGUUGGGUAGGGGAGCGUUCUGUAAGCCUGUG